rnacentral:rRNA from 1 species
UACGUAGGGCGCAAGCGUUUGUCCGGAAUUAUUGGGCGUAAAGAGCUCGUAGGCGGUUUGUCGCGUCUGCUGUGAAAACCUAAGGCUCAACCUUGGGCUUGCAGUGGGUACGGGCAGACUAGAGUGCGGUAGGGGUGACUGGAAUUCCUGGUGUAGCGGUGGAAUGCGCAGAUAUCAGGAGGAACACCGAUGGCGAAGGCAGGUCACUGGGCCGCAACUGACGCUGGAGGAGCGAAAAGCAUGGGGAGCGAACAGG